AUUUGGCUGACGAGUCCCGAAUAGAACGAAACACGCUUCCUGGAU
rnacentral:hammerhead_ribozyme from 1 species